AGAACGGAUUUUACGAAACUCGACCAGUAAGGGGGUAAAACGGGGGUUGCAAGUUUGUAUGAAAGUUCUAUGUUUUUGAAGUAAGAGACUUGAAAUUUAAAAUGUAUGGUCUAUAGAUGGUGAGAAGGUGUCCAAAUACUGUAUCUUUAGAAAUCAACCCCCUUUUGGGGUUAAAACGGGGGAUGGUAGGUUGACUCACUCAUCACGAAAUCUCCGAAACUAUAACAGCUACAAACUUGAAAUUUGGCAGGUAG
rnacentral:misc_RNA from 1 species